CCACACCGUAAACGAUGGAUACUAGGUAUUGGGGAAAACACCUCGGUACCGUAGCUAACGCAUUAAGUAUCCCACCUGGGGAGUACGACCGCAAGGUUAAAACUCAAAGGAAUUGACGGGGGCCCGCACAAGCAGUGGAGUAUGUGGUUUAAUUCGAAGAUACGCGAAGAACCUUACCAGGGCUUGACAUAUAUAUGAAAAUCAUAGAGAUAUGUACUACUCUUCGGAGACAUAUAUACAGGUGGUGCAUGGUUGU
rnacentral:rRNA from 1 species